GAUCUUAGCUCCUGCUACUUAGAACGUAUUAACAUUCCGAGUUGGUCUGGAAGUUUUAUUCCGACUUCAGAUUAAGGCAAGGUUGCCUGAGUGUCAGGUUUAAGUUACUUUAACUGGGGAUUCUUAGGAGAUUUUCAAGUAUUUUUUUACUAGUAACAGUAGUCAUUUUUACAAGUAUUUCCAUGCAAAUAUUAUAGUGAUACGGAGUUAGCGGCUCCUAGUAGGUUAUGUACAUAAGUUACUUAUACUGAGUAUUCUGAGAAGUAAUAUUCGUUACAAGUGGUAAUCGAGUGGAAUAUUUCUAAUCAAUUUAUUAAUUCAAACCAUCUGGAUUCAAAAUUUAUAUUUUUCAUGUUUAUUUUGGACUAGAAUUUUGUAAAAUUUGUACACCUGAAAUUCUAACCUCAUCUUGGACUGUGUCACCUACAAAUUUGGAAGAAAAAUAGCACAAGGACUACUUUAUUAUUUUAUCUAUCAAUCUAACAUUAGUCUCAUUCGCAUUGUGAAUAUAUGAAAAUAAAAUAAAUAUAUAUGUAUUAAUAAAUAAAUAACAUUUGGUAUUUAUUAUCCAGUAAUAGUGAAUAUUCACCAAUUUCGUCGACUAGUAACCGUUAUUCGCACCCUUAUUAUAAUGUGUUUUGAGAUAGAGUUACAUACGGGACCAUACAUUAUACCAGCUGUUGUUGAAGAAGUAGCUAAUGUUUCAAGGGAAAUUUCAUGAAGGGAGGACGGAUAAAACAUGUGAAGAAUAAUGGAUAAGCAUGGGUGAUUCAUUUGAUGAUACUGAAACUGGAUUCAGGACAUGAUGCACCAGAGUGCGCCCGAGGCUCCUAGGCAUGAAACCAGUUGAUGGACCUCGACUAAGGAAGACCUGCCUCUUUCUAACAGCUUCAAUCAUCACUUCAAGCUGAGAUAAAAUGUUAGAUAGACUCACAGAAGGAUUCUCAAGAGUGAAGGAAGCUCCAAUGCAGACGAGUUAAUAAUGGGGAAGGAAGCAUAGUACCCUCCCUCACCCAUAGCACCCCUCAUCCACAACCACAACCACUCAAUAUUGGGCAACCGUUGAUUAAUGACCCUGUUUACCCCCUCCCACCAAAGCAACUUCACAACCAACCAACACCUCACCCAUCAACACACACUUCAUCAAUCUUUUCUCUCUUCUACUUUCUCACUCUGUCACUCACUCUCUCUAUCUCUUCUCUAUCAAUCUUACAUUCUCGUUCUCUCUCACUAUUUCUCUAUCUCUAUCUCAUCCCUAUCAAUCUUUGAUUCUUACUCUUUCUCACUCUUACUCCUUCAGAUAUCCUUCUCUACUCUCUUUAUCAUCCUUAUAAAUCCUUCGCUCUUUCCUCUCUCUCUUUUACUCACACUGUUUCACUCUCUCUUCUCUCUCUUUUACUCACACUGUUUCACUCUCUCUUCUCUCUCUCUUUCUCAAUUUCACAC